GUCACCUCCAGCCACUGCAGAUUAACUCAGUGGGGAAACUUCUUUCCGUAAUUCAAGCUGUUGUUCCCACAACCUGUCAUCCGCCGCGGAAAAGGACGAUUUCGUCAGGGAGCCCAGGGCGGGGGCCUGUCCGCUCCCCCAGCCCCUCCCGGCUGCGGACAUGAUAUAUGGCCUCCAGGCUUCGGACAUUCCUGAAAUGUGCUCCCUGUCCCCUGCCCUAAUCAGGAAGAGAUGGUGCCCCCAGGCCCACUGGAAACCUUACCAAUGUGAACACGGAUCCCCGCCCCACCCCCAGUGCAGGAACUGUGCUAUCACUGGCCUCCCCCACCAGAAUGGGCACUCUUGGGGUCCUCCUAUAGCCAUCUUCCCAGUGCCAGCACAGACCCAGCCUGCAAACCCAGCCCGGCAGGUAUUCGGGAAAUCACCUGGAAAGCACCAAGGGCCCAGGAGCCUCUGCUCCCCACCCCCACUAACCCCAGCUUACCAGAGCCCAGGUCUGAGGGUUGGGGGGUAGAGGAUAGAGGUGGGGCCCCUUGCUGGCUGGUGCCUUCGUGGUCCAGAGGCCUGUUUUUAGUUGAGAACAGAAGCAUGUAUUAUGUAUACCGUGGUUUGCUCAGAACAUUCUCGGGUCUGAGAUAUUUAGAGUUGUGAAGACCCAGCACCAUUUGGGAGAGAAAAAUCCAUUUCUCUCCCUCUCAGGAAUGGGGGCAGGGGAACUACUCUCUCCAAAAUCAUUGGGACUAAACACUGGCAUUUUCCUUGAGGGAGAAGGGGGCUUUCCAUCCUCUGCGGGACUGUUUGGCAGACAUUUCCCCCACUUCCCGGUCUUUGGCUGAUGGUGAUAGUAAAAACUCCAAUAUAUUGCAUCUUACUUUCAAAGUGCCCUUUGCUGCAUGCACUCACUAACCCAUCAGGGUCAAGCCAAAGAAACUUGUUAACCCCAUUUUACAGACUAAGAAAGA